rnacentral:rRNA from 1 species
CACGUAGGGGGCAAGCGUUGUCCGGAUUUAUUGGGCGUAAAGAGCUCGUAGGCGGUUCGAUAAGUCGGGUGUGAAACCUCCAGGCUCAACCUGGAGACGCCACCCGAUACUGUCGUGACUAGAGUCCAGUAGGGGAGCGUGGAAUUCCUGGUGUAGCGGUGAAAUGCGCAGAUAUCAGGAGGAACACCAGCGGCGAAGGCGGCGCUCUGGGCUGGCACUGACGCUGAGGCGCGACAGCGUGGGGAGCAAACAGG